AAAGCUCCAAACAAAAAAAUGAGUCUAAAACUCAAACGAACUAUCCAAUAACUGAACCAAAAAUUUCUACAAGUCUUAAAUGAGCUGUAGCAGCUGGAAAGAACUGAAAUGUUGGAAAUGCAUGUAAAUCGGGGAAAUGAUCUAGAGGAUCUUUACACCAGCCCACCACCCAUUUAACCCCAUCUUCUUCUUCACUUCAACAUAACACCAACAACACGCGACAACAUAAACAUUCAUCAGCUCAACAACAUCGACCUAUAUAAACACAAAAUUCCCAAAGGUCCUUUGCCGCCCAGAGUUCCCUCUCUUUAUACAUCUACAUAUGAUAAGCACAAUUUCUGCACUUCGAUCGUUCUAACAUCUGCGACAUUGCAGUAUCCAUGAUAUUUCCUUUUCUAAAAAUUGUCACAAUUUUGCAAAUUCGUUUAGAGAUUGUGCGAAAUCCAACGUGGAACAUUAUCCUCAAAACUGAUUUUGAAUUAUAAAAUUCAAAAACCCCAAUUAUCCCCAAUAUUGAUUUUUACCCUAAUCAUACGAAUUCGGAUGAUUCGAUACAGCAAAAGCUCAUCCAACAAGAUUCCAGAACUCCUAAAUCCCACAUUUAAAUUUCAUUCUCAAAGACCUAAAAUCAUUCCUAUAUAAACCCUUUUACUCCAUCGUUUGACGAGAAGGUUAAAGACAGUCAACAGUAGAGAACUCCAACUGAGAAAGGGAUUUCGCUAAGACUGAAGAUUCUAGUGUCAAGAAAUGUGAUAAGACUCACUUGAUCUCAAAUUUAUAGGCUAAGGAUUGAGCUUGUUUUUGGUGGUGGUACGAAAAAAAUUAGAAGAAGCUGGAAGGCCUGAUAUUGUUGCUCUGAAAUAGGUGAUACCCCUAUUCCUCUUGUGUUCUAUCUCAAUUUAUCUUCUUGCAUCAUGAUGCUUCUUGUUGUAGCUUUCUUUUUAGUACUAUCUAUGUUCUGAUUGUGAUUUUUCAUUCAUCCGCAGUAGUAGCGCCAAAUUUCACACAUGAGCAUGGGAAUGGACUUAAUACUGUUGGCUCUUUUCGUUUAAAUUAUUUCAGCCUGUGUACUAUUUCAAGGGGUUUAAUUCUAAAGUUUCUUCCUUUGCUAUUUGUGAUUCGUUCAUGUCUUUGCGUUAGUUAGGUUAGUUUGAGCAUUAACAUGAGUUUCAAUCAUGUUUGUCUAAGCUUUACUACUAUUUCUUUUUUCCUCUUAUUAGAAAUAUGUAAGAAUUACCUUUCUGUUGAACGCGUUUGUUUAUAUAACUUUGUUCGUUCUUGUCAUUUUUAGCGAAUGGUAUCGCAAAACUCGUCCUACCACUUGGGCAAUUGCUCACUAUUGUUUUGAUUUACGAGUUAAGACAACUUAAAGUUGUUCGAUUUGAAUGGUUAGAGUUUGUCUCUCUUUGAGCUUGUAUUGCUAAUGCGUCGAUUCAAUAGGUCGAAAAUUUGUUUUUAAGGCUAUCUGUUAAAGAGCAGUGACCCCUUUUUUUUAUUCUUUUUCACAUAUUGAAGGCCAUCUCCUUGUAUGAUCUUUGCUUAUGACUCUUUAUUUUGUUUCAAUCAUUUUCCUUUGUCAACAAAUAAAUCUUUAAUUUUUAGGCGAUUGAAUUCAUCCCUAUCUCUCAGUCUUUCCCCUUUUCUUUUUCCCUUAGAAGCCUCCACUGAAUCAUGAAACACUAUGACCAAGUGUAAGUGAAUCCAUGAAAGAGCCUAGAAUUCUCAUCUUUAAGCUUUUUUGAAAAUCUGAAAAUCACUACGCUAUGAGUGUGAGUUCAAUAAGGCCUUUAAGUUAUUUGUUCGUCCUCUCUUUUUAGUUAUUCUUCUUCGAUGGACUUUGUGUGGUAUUAACUACGAAAUUUGCUUAAUGAUUUCUGAUUUUAACUGUAUUCGUUGGUUCGAGUUAUAAAUGGUUACAUUGUAUUAUUCUUAUAAUAGAUUAAAGGUCCUUGAGGGACCGAUUUGAUUUGUACAUAUUGUAACUUUUCAAGAGAUGAUGAAAUAAGUAAGUUUUAAAUUAUUAUAUGGCAAUUCUUCUUGGAUAUGUUUUUGAUUGAAAGAAGUUGGAUUUAGCUUUUUGAUCAAUCAUUGAUUAUUUUUAUGGAAUGAAAGUUACUUAUUUUGCUCUUUAUGUAUUAAUUAGGUUCUAAUCUUUAUAUCUUUUUCUUUGCAUGUGAAACUUUUCCGCAUUCAAAUGGACUUUCUUCACCUCGCAUUUCUCCAAUGGGUCAACAAGGCUCGUUUUUCUUUUAGUUUGAGUCUCCCGACCAAAUGGACUGGAUAGCGUGAAAUGAGCCAAGACCCAUGAAAUUUAAGUUCAUGACUAGUCUUGAUAGGUCAAGCAGAGGCCCAAGUUUCAUCUUUCCUCUCUUUAAUUACUAGUAAUACAUAUUUGUUUAUUUGUAUUAACUCUAAUAUUUUUCUUAACUUAGUUUGAAUUUUCCUUUUGAAUUGGCAAUGUUUUGCAAAUAAAUUCUUUUAUAGAUUUAACAUGAUUGAUUUUAUUAUUCGAUUCAAAGCUAUUAACCGAUGUUUGUUUUCCCAAAAUAAUGGUAUAAGUUCAAAUUGGAAUAAAAAAGAAAAAUUACCUUCAUUGACAAAUCUCAAACUUCUCUGAAUUAAGGCAUCUUUUUUCUCAAAAUCCCUUUUUCAUAAGUUAGUCAAUUAAGUUAAUUUCAAAUAAGAUCGAACAAUCGCAAGUUAUCGGAUAAUCUUGGUGCUAUAACAACUUUUCAAGAGUAUUAAUUGUAACCACUUACCCAAUUUUUUAACUCUUGAAAGAUAUUUUCUAUUUUUAACUUUUAAGUAUAUUAUUAAAGAUUUUCUUAAUUUUCCUUGAUCAAAUUAAGUGGCAAAUCGGUUUCUUUCAAUAUUAAAUUUGAACUUUUUUAUAAGUGUUCGAAUUAGUAAAAUCGCAAAAGUUCGUCUUCUCUGCAAAUCAGACACAAUCACAUUGUAUCUUGAGAUACUCUAUAACACUUGUCUUUAACUUAGUCCAAAGACUUUCAAGCAAUCAUUGACACUAUCAAAUUGUGUCUUGAUUUAUGAGAUAUUCUAUAAAUCUUUAGAGGCAAGACUUACACAAAGACUUUCAAACAACAAUUUACGUAUCAUGGCAAAAGUUAAUGCUACCACAUUGUAUCUUGAUUUAUGAGAUGUUUAAAAAAAAAUAAAAAUAAAAUAAAGGUUGAGACGAAUAAAUUAAAACAAAAAAAUAAAAAAUAAAAUCAGGAAACAG
rnacentral:lncRNA from 1 species